rnacentral:sRNA from 1 species
GUUUAGCCCUGAUUGAAGUGGCAUCCUUUUGCUUUUUCGGCAAAAGAUAAAACGGAAAGCGGGAAAUAGC